rnacentral:sRNA from 1 species
GGGGACCUGGCGGACGCUCGCGGCGUCGGUGGCGGUGGCGCGCGGCGGCCGCUGAGACCGGGGCUUUGAGUCGCACCCCGCGGCCCGCCCCCCGCCGCCACCCUCGCAGAUCCGUGCUUUUUUCCCUUUGCUUCUCUCCCGUACUGGGUCAGUCCUGUCCGCGCUCGCGCGUCGGUUUGCGGGUGUGCGCAGGCGCGGCAGGGGCCAUUAGCCCCUUGGGUGGGCGGUGGAGCCCGGGAGCGCGCGGGCGAGACCAUGGCGGGUAGCAGCACUGGGGGCGGUGGGGUUGGGGAGACGAAGGUGAUUUACCACCUGGAUGAGGAAGAGACUCCCUACCUGGUGAAGAUCCCUGUCCCCGCCGAGCGCAUCACCCUCGGCGAUUUCAAGAGCGUCCUGCAGCGGCCCGCGGGCGCCAAGUACUUUUUCAAGUCUAUGGAUCAGGAUUUCGGGGUGGUGAAGGAAGAAAUUUCAGAUGACAACGCCCGCCUCCCCUGCUUCAACGGAAGGGUGGUAUCCUGGGUAAGAGGUUCUGACACCGAGGGCCGGGUCCCCUCAGCAUUGCCAAGCUCCCCCAAGCCUCAGUCUGUUUCUGUAGCCUCCCCAGGCCAGGCGUUAGCAGCCCUGGCUCUUUACCUCCUGUCUGUUUGGAGAGCCGGCGAGAGGCCCUCAGCCUUCUCCUUCUGGAGUCUCUAAUACUUGCUAGGUUUUUUUGCUCUUCUCCAGCUCUCUGAGACCCUUUCUCAUUCUUUCACUUACUGCCACCUGUCACACCCUGACUCCCAAGUGAGCCACUGUUUAUCAUUUGCACCCUUCUAGCUGGUGUCCUCAGAUAAUCCCCAACCCGAGAUGGCCCCUCCAGUCCAUGAGCCUCGGGCAGAACUGGCGCCUCCAGCCCCACCUUUACCUCCUUUGCCACCCGAGAGGACCAGCGGCAUUGGGGACUCAAGGCCUCCAUCCUUCCACCCUAAUGUGUCCAGCAGCCAUGAGAAUCUGGA